GCACACCUUAACAACAAGAAGCGAACAUUCGGCUUUCCAGUGCAAACGAGCGUUUCGUCAUUUGAAAAUGACGGUUGAGACCUGUUGCAACGGACUUCAUCUCUCCCUCUUAUUCUGCUACAACGCGGACUUAUCAGUACUGCAGGUUGACUCCAUCAAAAACCAAGUGUGACUUCCCACUUCAAAUCACAUCCAGUGCUUUCCAUCGUAUUGCCGGCCUCUUGUGAUAGAGACAGCUUCAGGGGAACAUUUUGUCAGGACUCGACAAAUGAGUUGUCAGGGAACGAAGUUUUGUGACAGCAUUUUCAUCGGAGCCAGCUGCAGCUGCAAGACCUUAGACGACAAACAAGCACUACCACUGCCAAGAAAAACAUCUGCACGACUACCUGACUGCAUGAAAGGACUCGACAAUGGAGCCACCAGGGAAGGAAGUUUUGUGACAGCAUGUUCAUUGGAGCCAGCUGCAAGACCUGAGAUGACAAACAAGCACCACCACUGCCAAGAAGAACAUCUGCACGACUACCUGCCUAUUGCGGUGAUGUGUGCUACACAAGUGCACCUGUGUUGAUCUAUCUGCUUUUACUGUAGACAUGAAAGGACUCGACAAUGGAGCCACCAGGGAAGGAAGUUUUGUGACAGCAUGUUCAUUGGAGCCAGCUGCAAGACCUGAGAUGACAAACAAGCACCACCACUGCCAAGAAGAACAUCUGCACGACUACCUGCCUAUUGCGGUGAUGUGUGCUACACAAGUGCACCUGUGUUGAUCUAUCUGCUUUUACUGUAGACAUGAAAGGACUCGACAAUUGAGCCAUCAGGGAGGAAAGUUUUGUGACAGCAUUUUCAUCGGAGCCAGCUGCAAGACCUGAGAUGACAAACAAGCACUACCACUGCCAAGAAGAACAUCUGCACGACUACCUGCCUAUUGACUGCUUCUCAAGUCUUCAUGGCAAUUGCUGUGCUGAAGCGUAGAAGUAGGUGAAUUGAGUGACGUUGAGGUAAGGUUCAUCUUCAUGAUCUUUUAGUUUAUUGGGUCAGCAGGACCGCUAUAGGCCUAUGCAUGCUCGUCCGACCGGGGUGAGCCAGUCCGCCGUGAGACCAGGGGCCGGUCCAGGCCAAGCCUCCAUCGUCCCGGGAAGGUGAGAGCGUGGCCGCCGUGCGCCCUGGGGCCGGCCUGAGCCAUGCCACACCCAUCUCGGGGGAGGCGAGAGCGUGGGCUUUCGCG